rnacentral:lncRNA from 1 species
CAUGACACCACAAAGCUACAAAACAUUCCAGCUAUACUUGAUUUUAUAUAUUUUUUGAUGUCGCAGUUGUUUAUUCAUAUAAUAUUGAUUAAACAUUUAUUUAUUCCCAUUGAUCAUUGAGUGUGUUGAAGAUGAACUUUAACUUCCAACGGACUCUUUUUACCUUAACUCCAAUUUACUAGAUGAAGUCACCAAGAAAUUACAAGCUUAUGAACGAAGACAAAAUUGAAGAUCUCUGGAGCUAUUUUAAAGGACUCUCUUCUUUUUGUGCAAUAACCUAAGUUUUGUGUAUUAUAUAUUUCUUUAAACUAGGGUUUUUCGCUGUAGUAAGAAUUUUUAGAAAUUCUAAGUGAAUUCAAAGUAAAUUUUUUUUUUUAGAGCCAAAAAUGUUGAAAUAGAAAAAUAGCAGCAAUGCUUUCAUCUCAGCAAUUUUGGCUUACAUUUUAAAAUUUAUUUUGGAUUCACUUGGAAUUCCUGAUAAUUCACAAUUUAGUGAAUUACCCUGUGUGUUAUUCCUUGUAUUUCAGGUAAAAAUUGUAAACCUAUGACAAAAAAAUAAAUAGUAGAAAAAAUAAAAUCUGUAAAUCCAUGCUUAAAGGAAAAUAUAAAAUGCUUAAUAUAAAGUAAUGCAGAAUUCUGCAGCCCAAUAUUAAGCUUAAUUUGAAAGUAUCUGUAAAAAGUAUCUAUGGCGUAUUGAGUUUUUGCACUAAAUUAAAAAUACCAAAAAGCACCUGCGGAAUAUUUUGCAGUGACAUUAGUUUUAGAGCAGACAGAAAACUGUAUUUUGCUGAAGGAUUGGCCGACGAAGUCCUUAAAGGACCACUAUAGUGCCAGGAAAACAUACUCGUUUUCCUGGCACUAUAGUGCCCUGAGGGUGCCCCCAACCUCAGGGUCCCCCUCCUGCCGGGCUAGAUGGAGAGGAAGGGGUUAAACUUACCUCUUUCUCCAGUGCCGGGCGGGGAGCUCUCCUCAUCCUCUCCUCCCUCUUCUCCUCGUCUUCGGCUGAAUGCGCAUGCGCGGCAGGAGCCGCGCGCGCAUUCAGCCAGUCCAUAGGAAAGCAUUCACAAUGCUUUCCUAUGGACGCUGGCGUCUUCUCACUGUGAUUUUCACAGUGAGAAACGCGGAAGCACCUCUAGCGGCUGUCAAUGAGACAGCCACUAGAGGCUGGAUUAACCCUAACUCAUUGUUCUUAACUCACUGUCAGAGAAACUGCUAUGUUUAUAGAAAAAAGGGUUAACCCUAGAUGGACCAGGCACCCAGACCACCUCAUUAAGCUGAAGUGGUCUGGGUGCCUAUAGUGGUCCUUUAAUAUACAGGAUUCUCUACAACAAAAGAGGAAAAAUGGCCAGAGCUCAAAACAAGACUGAUGUAUCUACCAGAUAUAGGAGAGGCAAUAAUCUGUUUUAAAUCGCAUUAUUGUUUUUUGUUUUUAGACAUUCCACAGUGGAUUAAGUCCCACUUUUCUUUCUAUAAAGUGCUAUAUUGACAAUGCAUGAAAUGAGUUAUGAGAAAAAAUAAAUAAGAAUAAAAAUAAAAUAAUUAUCCAGC